GUGAUAAACAAUGGCGGCCAGGGGUCGAAGUACCCGUAUGUUCGGUUCCGAGAAUUGUGUGUGUUAUUGUAACUUGUGGGGAUACUUUUUAGAUUUUGCGUAAUUAUGUUCAACUUUGGAGGUCGAAGCGUGAUUUUUUAACAUUUGCAGAGUUCUGUUGUGUUCGACUUUGUGCAAAACUGAAAUGACCUUACUACCCGAUGAGAAUGAACAUCCCAUAUCCCUUGACAACUUAACUAAUGACUCUACACUGUAGAGUCUACAGGCUCAUUAUUGAUGCUGUACACUGCACUGUGUGCCCUCCUCGAGAGGUUUCUGCUGAAACUUGUCUGUUUUGUUAUUUGACACCCCGCAACAGAUGGUGCUGGUAUGUUCAUGCAGAGACACAGGAGCCGGAAGUUUUGAACACCAAUGGACAUUUUCGUUAGACCAAUCUGCACUGACACAUUUGGCUGAGCUGCCUUACGACCUGGACACUUUUGCUUUGGAUUGUCCACCUCUGUGUACAAGUUGUACAUACCAGAGUGGUAUGUACAAAUGUUACAGCACAAAUGCUGCUGAGUGCACACACCCCUUCUUUUUUCUACGGGGAAGUCCCACAUCAGUUGACCAUGGCAUUCUGGAGACAAAGUGCGGUGGUCGUUGUAUGUACUAUUCAUCAUUUGCUCCAGUUUGCCCAUGUGGAAGACCCUGUAUGUGUCAGCCUCUGAUCUGUUGAUUAAACCCAAAUAGAAGGCCAUAAAUACUAGCACUACCUCAAUGCUUAAUGUUUUCUGGUAUCUAGCAUUUUCAUUGAUGGAUUAUCUCCCUUGGACUGUUGGACUGUUUUCACCAGUUCUACCAUGUCAAAUUGACAUUGUUUGCAAACCAUAUUUUUCAAACCUGACUCUUUGUGAUUGUGUUUGUAAUCACAUAAAUAGUGUAUUUAUCCAACAAAAAUGUGAUUUGCAUGCUACAAGGUAUGUAAUGUGUAACUUUCAUAUAAAAGGUAUAAUUUAAUUGCUUUUUUCUUAUUUUUUCAUGUUCACCUACAUUAAAUUCAGGUUUUUUGUCUAAAAGAUAUUGCAUAUGUCAAACAAUGACUACAUGAUUACUAAUUUUUUUCAAAAUGGCAGUUACACAUUAAUUAAAAACUGGAAUUUAUGAUAAUUAGGACAUACCACAAAAUGUCACUUUCUCUAUAGGUUGGACUAUACCAAUUAAAAUACUAUUGGUGACAGUGUUAAGAUAUUGGCCUAAAACUACUAUACACGACGUAUCAACCAAAAUAUGAACCAUAGAUAUGAAUACUACAACACCUCACCCAAAGUAGUGACUGAGUUAAAUGGCACCUUUCAUGGCUCAUUUUCGAGAUCACAGCAUGUUGUUACAAGCCCCGUCAAUUCUGCAUUUUUGUAUUCUAAAUAUUACUAAUUUUACUUAUUUAACACCAGAAAGCAACAUUUUGUGUGCGUUUGUUUUCCCUUUAAUCACAAACAAAAACAUGAAGAAGGAAUUUAAUCAUAAUGUAAAUUUAUAAAUUGAUUUUAAAAAUACUUUUUUUUUUAACUUUGUAACCCCCAAAAAUCUCAUUUAGCACCCAUUUUCGAGAGCGGAUUUUUAAUAUGUUACCCUAAAUAACUUUCUAAAUGGAAAUUACACCCCC